rnacentral:rRNA from 1 species
UACGGAGGGGGCUAGCGUUGUUCGGAAUUACUGGGCGUAAAGCGCGCGUAGGCGGACCUGCAAGUCGGGGGUGAAAGCCCGAGGCUCAACCUCGGAACUGCCUUCGAUACUGCGGGUCUCGAGUCCGGGAGAGGUGAGUGGAAUUCCUAGUGUAGAGGUGAAAUUCGUAGAUAUGUGGAGGAACACCGAUGGCGAAGGCAGCCUUCUGGGCCAACACUGACGCUCAUGCACGAAAGCGUGGGGAGCAAACAGG